CCUACGGGAGGCUGCAGUGAGGAAUAUUGGUCAAUGGACGAGAGUCUGAACCAGCCAAGUAGCGUGAAGGAUGACUGCCCUAUGGGUUGUAAACUUCUUUUAUAAAGGAAUAAAACGAGGCACGUGUGCCGUUUUGCAUGUACUUUAUGAAUAAGGAUAGGCUAACUCCGUGCCAGCAGCCGCGGUAAGACGGAGGAUCCGAGCGUUAUCCGGAUUUAUUGGGUUGACAGGGAGCGUAGGUGGGUUGUUAAGGCAGUUGUGAAAGUUUGCGGCUCAACCGUAAAAUUGCAUUGGAUACUGGCAGUCUUGAUUGCAGUUGAGGUCGGCGGAAUUCGUGGUGUAGCGGUGAACUGCUUAGAUCUCUCGA
rnacentral:rRNA from 1 species